rnacentral:rRNA from 1 species
AAUAUGCACAAUGGGCGCAAGCCUGAUGCAGCCAUGCCGCGUGUAUGAAGAAGGCCUUCGGGUUGUAAAGUACUUUCAGCAGUGAGGAAGGUGGGUAUGUUAAUAGCAUACUCAUUUGACGUUAGCUGCAGAAGAAGCACCGGCUAACUCCGUGCCAGCAGCCGCGGUAAUACGGAGGGUGCGAGCGUUAAUCGGAAUUACUGGGCGUAAAGCGCAUGCAGGUGGUUUGUUAAGUCAGAUGUGAAAGCCCGGGGCUCAACCUCGGAAUUGCAUUUGAAACUGGCAAACUAGAGUACUGUAGAGGGGGUAGGAAUUUCAGGUGUAGCGGUGAAAUGCGUAGAGAUCUGAAGGAAUACCGGUGGCGAAGGCGGCCCCCUGGACAGAUACUGACACUCAGAUGCGAAAGCGUGGGGAGCAAACAGGAUUAGAUACCCUGGUAG